rnacentral:rRNA from 1 species
GACGAACGCUGGCGGCGUGCUUAACACAUGCAAGUCGAACGGAAAGGCCCUGCUUUUGUGGGGUGCUCGAGUGGCGAACGGGUGAGUAACACGUGAGUAACCUGCCCUUGACUUUGGGAUAACUUCAGGAAACUGGGGCUAAUACCGGAUAGGAGCUCCUGCUGCAUGGUGGGGGUUGGAAAGUUUCGGCGGUUGGGGAUGGACUCGCGGCUUAUCAGCUUGUUGGUGGGGUAGUGGCUUACCAAGGCUUUGACGGGUAGCCGGCCUGGGAGGGUGACCGGCCACAUUGGGACUGAGAUACGGCCCAGACUCCUACGGGAGGCAGCAGUGGGGAAUAUUGCACAAUGGGCGGAAGCCUGGUGCAGCAACGCCGCGUGCGGGAUGACGGCCUUCGGGUUGUAAACCGCUUUCGCCUGUGACGAAGCGUGAGUGACGGUAAUGGGUAAAGAAGCACCGGCUAACUACGUG